rnacentral:sRNA from 1 species
GCGACGACGGGAGGCGGCGGCGGAGCCCCGGCGGGGCGUUUGGUUUCGGUUUGGCCCUGACUGGGAUUAGUGUUGACGGUCGAAAUGGGAGUCCCCAAGUUUUACCGAUGGAUCUCAGAGCGGUAUCCCUGUCUCAGCGAAGUGGUGAAAGAGCAUCAGGGAAUCUCGCUCUGUCGCCCAAGCUGGAGUGCAGUGGCACGAUCUCAGCUCACUGCAAGCUCCGCCUCCCGGGUUCACGCCAUUCUCCCACCUCAGCCUCCCGGAGUCUUGCUCAGUUGCUCAGGCUGGAGUGCAGUGGCUCGAUCUCCUCUCACUGCAAGCUCCGCCUCCUGGGUUCACACCAUUCUCCUGCCUCAGUCUCCCGAGUAGCUGAGACUACAGGCACCUGCCCCCACGCCCAGCUAAUUUUUUUGUAUUUUUUUAGUAGAGACGGGGUUUCACCGUGUUAGCCAGGAUGGUCGCGAUCUCCUGACCUUGUGAUCCGCCCUCCUCGGCCUCCCAAAGUGCUGGGAUUACAGGCGUGAGCCACCGCACCCAACCAGAGAUGUUGACUUCUAAUUUGCAAACAUUUCCCUACGUUUUGUCAUUUUUAAUUGAAUUAUAUAUGGCACUUUUUAACCCUAUAUAUGUAAAACAAUACA